GGCGCGGGCGUAGGAUAUCUGAGGGGAGCUGGCCUUAGUACGAGAGGACCGGGCUGGACGGACCACUGGUGCAUCAGCUGGAUACCAAAUCCAUAGCUGGGUAGCCAAGUCCGGAAGGGAUAAACGCUGAAGGCAUCUAAGCGUGAAGCCCCCCCCAAGAUGAGAUGUCCCUGUCUAUAAGACAGUAAGACCCCUGAAAGAGUAUCAGGUAGAUAGGGCAGAGGUGGAAGCACGGUAACGUGUGGAGCUGACUGUUACUAAUCGGUCGAGGGCUUGACCAAA
rnacentral:rRNA from 1 species